UUAUUAUUUCUCUUUUAUUGUGUUUAUUGUCUAUGGCAAACCAUUUUAUAUAAAUUCUUUCUAAGACAGUUUUCUACCCACCAGUAAGUUUUUUCUUUUAUGCCUUUUUCUAUAUAUUUUACAGAAUCUGUGCUAUGGCUAUCAUAACUUCAUAUUCAUGUAGGUUAGAACAAAGUGAACAUGUAAUAUUUUAACAUGAAAGAAACAAAAACAGAACAGUUUUUGUAAGUACACCUUUCAAAUACUGCUGUAUAUGUAUGUAUAUUUUUGCCAUCUUAGGUUUGCUUUCAGUGUUAAUUUAAAUGACUAUAGUUUAUGUACCUGUAGGGCAUUUCUCAAAGCCUUUUUGUGUUUAGUUACCAGUAUUUCUGGUAAGAAUAUGGAGCCUUAACAAGAUAUAUAUUUAUGCAAAUAAAUGAAUAUAUGUAAAAAUGCAUGAUAUAUAAUACUGAGGAUAUCCUACAUUCAUCAAACCUUGCUAAUCUGCUUUCUUCUUUGACAGACCUCUGGGCUCACCUUUUUAACUAAUCAGCAGUGACAAUUUUUAGAACUGUGAUUUUGACCAUGUUAACUAAGUUUAAAACAGACUUUUCUAUAGGACAAACUAAGUGGUAAUAUUAUUGUUAAAUAGACCUAGAAAAAUUUAGGCAACAAUAGAAGUUAAAUAAGUAAUAAAAUGUAAACAAUUAUAUUUUGAAAAUUGUCUGUACUUUUUUUUAGAUCAUUAAGUUAAUCUCAAUAUUUUCUGGUGAAUAAUGAAUGUACACAAAUAGUUUGAAGAACUGAUUUUAUCAUUAGCUUAUGUGCAUUUCUGUUUUUCCAAUGUGCAAUGUGAACAUUUAACAAUUUUUUUCACAAAAGCUUGUCAGAAGUUUGAUUUUGGGUCAGCUAGUGUGUUCUAUUAUUCUGUGGUAUAAAUUUCUUUGUGUUUCCGGUAUUUUAAAUUUUUUUAAUUUAUAAAAAUUAUGAAUAAUCCAACAACAAAUGAUAAAGAACAGAUCUAUUUCUAAGGUACAGCCAAAUAUUAAAUUUCUUUGGGUGCAAGUGACAGUUUGAAAGAAAUUCUAAGUUUUACACUGAAGAGUACAUGACUUAAUCUGACAGAUAAACCUUGAGGUUACUUGCCAAUUCUUCAGUGUACAAAUCUGAAAGCUUAACAUAGAUAAAUGAUCUGAGUAUUUUUUCCCCACAAAUUAUUGUGUGGGGAAAAUAGAAUGAGGCAUGAACACAGUAAAUAAAGAGAAUGUGAAUAAUGGCAAGGAGAGAAACACUUCAAAUAUAUUGAUUUAUCUCAACUUCAAGUUCUAAACUAACCAUAUGUUGUGUCACUUUUUUGAUAUUGUCUGUCAUAUCAUUCUUUUUUCAGCAAUAGCCCUCUUAAUUCUAUGUAUGACUAAUUAGUCCCAUAACAGUGCUAGUAUGAUCUCGCAUACAGACUAUUGAAUGUUUCAGUAGAAAGUACAGGUUAUUUAUUGUUUUUAAAUUGGUACAGCCCCCUUUUUUUUUUAUAAGAAAAUGUAUAUGGCUAUUAUAUCUUUUUAUGCCAUUUACCCAUGCUUUUAGUUUUUAGCCAGUAUUUUGUGUGAUUCAUAUGAGGCUUAAUCAACAAUUGAUUGUUACUAUUCUUAAGAAAGGUUGUUACCUUCUGCUUAUGUGUGGACCCAACCUCUUCUUAAUCUUGAUGACAGCUUUUUGUACAUAUAAAGUAACCCAUGACCAUGAUGUACAAAGGAGGAGAAUAUUGUUAUUCAUAGAACUAAUAAGCAACCCUUACCUUUUUGGAUCAAUCCAGAGAUGGUGAUGGAUAAUGAGAGAGAGAGAUUUGUAUAUGUGAACAAUGGCCAAAGUUUUUUGUGUUCUAGUAUUUCACCCAUGUUGGGAUUUUCAAUUGACAAGCUUCACAAGGGAGGAACCAGAUGGAGCUAGAAGAGGCAGAGCUUGUUAGCACUGUAAGAGUGGACUGUCAGUUUUUAGUACCUGGUGAAACCUAAAUUCUGAUGAAGUUUGCAGCUGUUAAAACUGUUCUAUUAUCUGCAAGUCAUUAGGAGCUUCUCGACCACAAAUUCUUUGUUAGAGGUGGUGUUUCUGAUGUUUGCUGGUUACAGCUAGAUGGAAUUUGCUCCCUUGUGAAACAUUAUGGGACAAAACUUUACCAAGUCAGUGAAGCACUGCGGUUGUUGAGACAAAGUGAUUAGUGAGAAAGUCCUCAUGAAGGAAAAGUCUGAAUGGAUUUCCCAUACUACAUUUCAAGCUGGGUAAUCUGACCCUCUUCAUUUAAUUUAAUUUAUUUGAACAAUCUUUUUAAAAUUAUAAACAAUUUCAAAUUUUACUUGCAAGUAUAACAUAUCAUAGAAGUUCUGAGAAAACUACAGUUUUAUUUGUUUUUAGGCUGAUUUCACUGUAAUAAUGAAAUGAUAAAUAAGAUAUAUCUUUUGUUACCAAAUGUAAUAUGUAUAUCAGAAGUAUCUGGUACUAUACACAUGUUAACCUACCACUAGUAUAAUUAAAAGUAUAACCAUUUUUAAAAAAUUUUAAAAACCAGGAAUGCUCAUAUCCAAGAAAGAAAUUAUCUUCUUUGUAUAUGUAUAUGUUUCUUUUUUGGGGGUGAGUUAUUUUAUUUAAACCACUUCAGCCAAAUUUUACCAGUUUUCUGUAGAAUCAUAUUCAUUAAGUAAUGGAUGUUCCAAGUUUUUUAUGGUUCAAUUUCUGAAACCAUUUCAUUAUCAUGCACCUUUCUCAGCUUUUGCAGUUAUAUGUAUUACCAAAUUUUCAUUUCAAGCUCUUUCAUAGCAUUUAAGAUAUUACUAUCAAAGAAAAAAAUAUUGGGUAUUUAUAUGGAUGGCUGAUGUUAGUUUUGCUUUAAAACCUUUUAAUAUUCCCCAUGAUAUGUCAUUUCCUUCUUGUUUAAAAUUUUUAAUACUUAUCUUUGAAAUUUCAUUAUUUUUUAAAGAAACUUUUAGGGUAGUUAACAUUUUAAAUAGGAUGUUCUGUUGAUUUACAAAUUAUGGAAACUUUGUACAUAAUCAUCUUUUAUU
rnacentral:lncRNA from 1 species